rnacentral:lncRNA from 1 species
AAUCAUCACCAGCCAGCAGCUCUGUCACUGGACCGGGGGUGUGAAUACCAGCGUACACCACUGUGACAAUGGCAGCUGCGUGCGUGUCAUCCUCACCGUGAACUGGAGUGACUGUGGGCUGCCGCCUGGCUCCAGGCCCGGGCUCCUCGCUCCCCUCCAUACUCAGGCCUGCACACUCCUGGAGCUUUCUCUCAGUCUGGGAGGCCACUUCUCUGACCCUAAUUCCCAUCUUCACACAAGAAGUUCCAGGCCAUAAGAAAUAAGCUGAAGUCUGAGCUCCUCUGCAACCUCAUCCACAAUACCUCAAUGUAUACUGCCCACAGAUAAGCAAUCCAGCUCUGAGACAUUUUUAAAGGGGCCGAGAUGCCUUCGCUAAAGUGGUCCAGGAAGAUGAACACAGAAAGCCAUCUUCUGCGUUAUUUGAGGAUUCAAUGGGAACAAGGUCAGCGUUUGGGUGUUUUUCGGCUGUUCCCCUUCCCUUGGGAGGCGUUACCACCACCGCCACUGCCGCCACCACUGCCAUCUGAACAAAACAAACAAACAGCAGACCUGAGCAAGAAGCUACAGCCCCUGAAAGUGCUUUCUGCGGAGCAAGAAUGGAAUUGCUUCCAGAUUUGUUGACUUCUAUGAUGGACUCAUAGCUUUAAAAAUCUGUGGAGUCACACCUUGGUCAAAAAUAUUACAAUAAAACAUUUGCAAACAUUUUUAAUUUUAAAUACAGUAUCUUUAAAUGGUCCAUGUUAACAUCUUAGAGACAAGAUAUCUACAAGUAAAGUUACAAAACUUAGAAAUCAUAUUUCAUCUUUUGAUGAUAGCAAGAAAAAAGACACUGCUGAGAAUAUUGUUUAUAGUAAAUUCAGUAUAACUGCGGACAUUCUACAUGCAUGUAAACUUGAUAUUCACACACUGUAUUUUUACAUAUUUACUUUUGGAGUAUUAUAUAAUUAAUGAAGAAUCGAUUCAGCAAAAAUGUGAGUUGAGUCUACUUUGCCAAUAAAUUGGGAGUAUCUCAUAAACAAUUUUGGGUAAAAUUUAGAAAUUAUUUUUAUUGUAAAAGGAACUCUCCUGUUGCUCAUUGUUAGUAUGUCCACUUAAUGUUCUAUUUUUGGCCAAAUUAAAUUUAACUAAAGGAAAAGGAAAAUGUAGAGUACCAAGAAUGAUCAAGAUUCUGUGGGUAAGUUAAUUGAAAUGGUUUAUUCUUUGUACUAAUUCCUUGGAAAAUAUCACUCUUGUUAUUUGAGACUUGUGUUCAAUUAAUAAGAAACUAAUAGAAAUAGUUAUUUAAUCUGACUUCCUUCCUGUUGUUUUUUUUUUAAAGUGUAUCCAGGGAAAUAACUAAAUAUAUAACAUGUACCUUGCUGAAGAGCCACCGACAUUCCAUUAGAAACUUAGGUGACCUCACUCUGGAUGUGUAGGAUGGCAUAUUUAUUAGUAUGACAGGUGGUUUAUUUCCAUGAUGAUUCAUGUUUGCUGUCAUUGAACUUACUGGAAUAACUAUAGAAGCAAACUGUAAGAAUUUAACCACUUACUGUCAACCUUGCUCUUCUACUUUUUUGGGAUCAUCCCAGAGUAGAAGAACCAAACAUGAUUAAAAAGCAUCGAGGAGAGAAAUCCAGGCACGUGGCCCCCAGACUGGCAGUAUGAAGAUUCUAUGCUAGCAAAGUUCCCCGUUAAUUUGUUCUGCUUCUUUAAUAUGCAAAUUGCGUGGCCUCAUUUGCUCCAUCAUAUUAUAAAACUAGAAAGAUUCCAUUCACUUUCCUGUUUUUCUUUUUCCCCUAAAGACGAUAAUGGUUAUACACUUUCAAAUAUUUGAAGACAAGAUAUUCUGGAUAAAUAAUCUAAGAUUAGCUAAAUUAGGUCAAUGUCCACACAGGGCCAGUGAGAUAUGUCCCUUGUGUUCAAAUUAUCUGGUGUCAGCUACAUUGAUUGAAAAAGCAGUACCGACCAAAAAAAAAAAAAAAAAAAAAAAAAGUCUUAUUACAAGAUAUCUCAAAAACAGAUAAGAAAGCAACGAAGCCCUCUCGUAAAUGAGGGAGCUUAUCUAGAUUUUAAUAUGGUGGUAAGCAAAUUGUACAUGUUUUUGCAAGUUAGGCAACUUACGUGGGAAGCGGACAUUUCUCAAGUUUCUGUGAUUCUAAGCCAGUCACUAUAGUUUGCAUAUCCGCCCGUUGUUCAUGGGGUCUUUGUUCUUUUCUUCAAAAGACAUUCCAUAGAAAGGCUGAAAUAUUAUCAAAUUUGAGGCACAUUGUCUGGACUGUUUAACUCCUUCUAGGAUGGACAGGAGGCUGAUGAUGCCCAAGAACCUCUGUGCGAGGGCCCUUCCUGCUUAUCUGUUUAUUUUUGUUACCUAACUUCACUCACUGUCUCCCUCUGAAAACUGCCAAUAAUAUUGAUAAGAUUCCUCGUAAAUAGGACCGAAACAAGAGCUAGAAAAGAAAGUCCUUGAGCCUUUUCUAUAGAGAUCUUGCUGCUGGAAUCAGAAGGGUCUUGCAGGUGAUUCUCAGAAGCUGCAGUCAUGGUGGACAGGAGUGCACACCCCGCUCUAGCCCCAUCCUCUCAGGAACCUUCUCUCACCAAAGCUUAUGUCAUUGUUCCUCCUGUUGCUGUUAGAAUUUAUUUACUAUCACAAAAGAGAUUUUAAAAGUUGAUGAUUUGAUCUAAUUAAUAGAAUGACUGAUUGGUAAAUAUGUUUCACGAACACACACUGACUAGUCUGACAACAGGGGUGCCAUCCCAUUUAAAAAUCACUAUAUUUAGAACAUAUUUCUACAUGGCAAUAACUGUGAUAGCCUUUAUCUUCAGGUUUAUGCCACCUCUCUAAUGUAAACACACUGG